AAAUUAUCUUUUUUUACUCACUUCACACUUAUAAGAACACAUCACAAUUAUUCUUCCAGAUGUAGAAGAAGAAUUUCUGGGAUUUAGUGGAAUUUAGAAGAACAUGUGCCCCAAAGGAAAUAUUAGAAAUUGAGCCUGAAAUGAUCCAUAAGCACUUCCAAUGCAUGUUGGUGGUGAACCUUUUUCAGGACCUUGUGGGAAUGGAUGACAAAUGUUGGCAAAACUUGGGUCAGAAAGAUUACCAGUGUAGACAUAGCUUCAGUAAGAGCUAUAAGAGAUUGACUUUCUGAGGUGUUAGAAUGACAACUGAAGUUGGAUCCAGAAGAGCUUUGAUUUUAAUUCCUGGCUCAAGAUUUUCUCAGUUUUGUGACCCUGGGUAAGUAAUUUAAAUGUCCUAAAUUCCAAUUCACUCUUCUGUAAAAUGGUAAUAAUAAUACAUAGAAUACGUACCAUGACCAUUUCUUAUUAAUAGAAAAUGAAAUAAUAUUCAUAAAGAUUUUUGUAGGCUUUAAUAAAUUAAGUUGGUUUGUCUUAUUUUUUGAACUU
rnacentral:lncRNA from 1 species